rnacentral:rRNA from 1 species
AUUGAACGCUGGCGGAAUGCUUUACACAUGCAAGUCGAACGGCAGCACGGGGGCAACCCUGGUGGCGAGUGGCGAACGGGUGAGUAAUACAUCGGAACGUGCCCGGUCGUGGGGGAUAACGUAUCGAAAGUUACGCUAAUACCGCAUACGAGCUGAGGAUGAAAGAGGGGGACCUUCGGGCCUCGCGCGAUCGGAGCGGCCGAUGUCAGAUUAGGUAGUUUGUGGGGGAGAGGCCUACCAAGCCGACGAUCUGUAGCUGGUCUGCGAGGCCGACAAGCCACACUGGGACUGGACCGCGGCCAGGAGUCCUACGGGAGGCAGCAGUGGGGAAUUUUAGGCAAUGGGCGCAAGCCUGAUCCAGCCAUCCCGCGUGCAGGACAAAGGCCUCCGGGUCGUAAACUGCUUUUGUAUGGAACGAAAAGGCUCUGGCUAAUACCUGGGGCUCAUGACGGUACCGUAAGAAUAAGCACCGGCUAACUACGUG